UACCCUGAACGGUGGAUCACUUGGCUCACGGGUCGAUGAAAAACGCAGCUAAUUGCGCGUCAACGUGUGAAAUGCAGGACACGUGAACAUCGAUAUUUCGAACGCACAUUGCGGUCCACAGAUACAAUUCCUGAACCACGCCUGAUUAAGGGUCG